UCAGUAACACGUAGUCAACCUAACUCAUCGGAGGGGGAUAAUCUCGGGAAACUGAGGAUAAACCCUCAUAGAUAAUGGUGCCUGGAAUGGCCCAUUGUUGAAAUAGUUUACUGCCGUGGGAUGGGACUGCGGCCUAUCAGCUUGUUGGUGAGGUAAUGGCCACCAAGGCUAUAACAGGUACGGGCUCUGAGAGGAGAAGCCCGGAGAUGGGUACUGAGACACGGACCCAGGCCCUAUGGGGCGCAGCAGGCGAGAAACCUUAGCAAUGUGCGAAAGCACGACUGGGUCAGUCCGAGUGAUUUCUGAUAAAGGAAUCUUUUUGCCCGUUGUAAAUGCACGGGCGAAUAGGGGUGGGCAAGUCUGGUGCCA
rnacentral:rRNA from 1 species